AUACGGGGGAUGCGAGCGUUAUCCGGAUUUAUUGGGUUUAAAGGGUGCGUAGGCUGUUUUAUAAGUCAGGGGUGAAAUUUUAUGGCUCAACCAUAAGCUUGCCUUUGAAACUGUAUUUCUAGAAUAUGUUUGCUGUGAGUAGAAUGUGUGGUGUAGCGGUGAAAUGCAUAGAUAUCACACAGAAUACCUAUUGCGUAGGCAGCUCACAAAGCCAUUAUUGACGCUGAUUCACGAAAGUGUGGGGAUCAAACAGGAUUAGAUACCCUGGUAGUCCACACUGUAAACUAUGAUAACUAGCUGUAGGCGAUAGACUGUCAGUGGCGUAGCGAAAGCGUUAAGUUAUCCACCUGGGGAGUACGACCGCAAGGUUGAA
rnacentral:rRNA from 1 species